AUGGUGAUGGGUUAUUCUGGUCAGGAGAGGUCAACCAUCACCAACCUUUUAAACUACCGACUUGGGUCGUUCCCUGUUUCCUACAUGGGGUUGCCCGUUAGUGACUCGAUGAUCCGUAUGAGGGAUCUUAGACCUGUGGUGGAGAGGGAGGAGCGGGACUCAUUACCACCAUGCCGCAUGAAGGAGGAACGAGAGUCACCACCGUCACGCCAAGUAAAGCAGGAGCGGGAGUCGCCAUCGCCUAGCCGCGUUGGAAGUGUUUCCCCCGUGAUCACGGUGAAGGCGUGCGGGCACAUUUUCCACUACCUUGGUGAAGACGGUAGCAGCAGUGGUAGGUCGUCCUCUCGGAGCGCCUUGACGACAGAAGGAUGUGCAAGUUCCGAUGUCCCGUUGCCGCAAUUCUCAAGGACCUGGAGCUCGAGCAAGACUAUAGCUGCCUUCGGCAAGGCCCCUCCCCCCGUGCCCUUGUCCGCGGUGGCCGCGGCCGCAUUGUGUGCAGCAGGUGACAGCUGGGAAACCCUAUCGCAAACCCACGCCCCGACUCCAACGUCAGCAAUAAUGAGGCGGUGCCAUCGACCAUCCGACCACGCGUACGAGGUCACCAUCGAGUAUAGAACCGAAGUGGCAGCGGCCACUCUUCACGCCACCGGCAUCGUCCGAUCCCAGCUCCUAUCUGCUGCAGCAGGCUCACUGCCACACCCAUCUCCACCUCCCCUCCUCCCCAUCGUCUCCUCCUGCCCCUACCCCAUCUCCUACGGCGACGACAUCAACAAGUACGUCGUCGGCACCGGCCGUCCGCGGAGUCUCCAACGCCUCUCCUGCCUACUCCUCCGAUGCAGCAGACCCGCCGCCCAACAACUCCCCUUCCUCACCUCUGUCUCUUCCUUCCCCUACCCCUAUAGCGUCUGGUGGCAUGCACGGCUGGCGGCCCAGAUGUCAGUAAUGCCAACAGCAGACAGCACUCGGUGGAGGAGCUCUGGCAGGAAGGCAGCGAAGUCCGCACCGGAGCCAGGAGUGUUCUUCGGCGGGGGAGCCGGGGGCUUGAGCUUUUCUUGGAGUAGCGAGGUUGGGGUCCGAGAAGACACACGGGGUUGGGAUGAGAAGGGCACCGGCGAGGGGUUCGGCAGUGGAUGCAUAUGCAAAGCUCUAGAUGUCCACGCUCUAUAUGUAUUGGGCACCUUUUCUGCAGAGCUAAAUUGUGGUGCAGCUCCAGGUCAUGGAUUAGAGGUCCAUGGUGUAGAGAUGUCUGCAUCAAUCUGCACCCAUAUAUCAGGUGAAGUUAAGGAAAAUGAUGACACCCAGAUAUGGUUGGAUGGGACUGUAGCAGCAUCUGCAGCUGUUACUUUCAUGUUAACAUGUCGUAGCAUUCAUAAGGUGAUGUCUAAGUAUUUCCCAUGCAACGAGGUUGAUCUCUUCAAGAAGAAUCACAAGUUUCUGAAAUGUGGCACAAAAAUUCACAUGGUUGCAUAUGCCUGGCUGGAACUAAACGAGCGUGUCAUAGGUUGUAUGCUUGCUCUGUAUUUUUCAAGCCUCGGUCUUAUGGCAUACAUAUGCUUAGCAGUCGAUCCUUCGUGCUGUGAAAAUGGAGCAUUGGUCGCUGCUGCUCUGCACACCACCGACACCGUCCGCUCCCAACUCUCUGCUGCAGCAGCCUUGCCGCUCGCCGCCACAUAA
rnacentral:rRNA from 1 species